GUUAUUAUUAUUACGAUAAACAAUUGCCUAUAUCCUUACAAUUGUAAGAUCCACAAAAGUAGGAGAUUCACACGUUUCCUUAUUCUCUUUUACACCUGUGUGUAUGAUUGUUUACUUGAGUAGUUCUGAAAUGUUGAAAUUUUGAAGAAAAGUCUCAGAAAAAUGUUUGAGAAAUGGAAUAAGGAAUAAAAAUUGUUGCGCGUAGAAGAUGUAAAGGAAAAGUCUUCUUACACUAGAAAAACAGCUCGAGCGUAGUUAUUAAAAUGAGCGAAUAUAUGAAAAGAGUAGUUAAGCAUAGUGAAGAGUAGAGUAUUCCAUAGACAAGACUGCAAACAAUGAGGGAUGAAAACAAUUUGACAUAAAACAAAUAACAUUAAACACAACUGUUCUAAUUGAAUUGAGUAGCAACGAGCCAAACAAAUUCAAAGGACCCUGAGGUAUGAUUAAUUAGGAUUUUUGUAACAAAUAUUAUUGAGAAUUUCAUUCUCAUCAAUAAAAUAUUAAACUUCAGUGCCAUUUCCUGUAAAUUUGUAUACACUCUUACAAUACCCAAACAAUAACGCAAAAUAAAGGGAAAAUAACAUGUUAAGCUUUAAAUAAAAACUAGAUAAUGGCCGAAAACACCGAACAAAGAAUAUUUAUACACAGCCAUGAAUAAGAUUUGAAUACAAUGGUCAAUUUAAUCAUUUUAAUGAGUUCAGGCGUCAAGCGGAAAAAGGUUUAAACAUAUGCAGUGUGUGAAGAACCAGACGACAAGCUGCGACUUGCCGUUUGGAUUGAAACGUUACACGUGAACAACUAUAAAUUAAGGAUCCUCAAAACAGUAUAUUUAGAUUUCACAUCUUUGACGCUUUCAGAGAGCUAUAAAUAUCCCAUGGUCAUGGUUCAGAAAUGAAUACAUUAAAUAAAUAUCAACCAACCAUAAUGGCACCAACAAAUGGAAUCAUAGAGUUAAAGAGGAAGAAAACUGGAAGAUUCACAUAAAUAGAAAGAUACAUUCAAAUCGUGUCUUAAUACUGCGGAGAACUCUCGUCCUCGACCUCCUGAAUGACUGAAUCUUGUUCGAGGCGUUGUCUUUGUAUCUUCAAUUCGGUUUUUUUCUAGAAUAAAAACAAAAUUGUUUAUUAUGCAAAAUAAAAAUAGAACUCAUGAUAA